AUUGAACGCUGGCGGCAGGCCUAUCACAUGCAAGUCGAACGAGUGGCGGACGGGUGAGUAAUGUCUGGGAAACUGCCUGAUGGAGGGGGAUAACUACUGGAAACGGUAGCUAAUACCGCAUACCAUCGGAUGUGCCCAGACGGGAUUAGCUAGUAGGUGGGGUAAAGGCUCACCUAGGCGACGAUCCCUAGCUGGUCUGAGAGGAUGACCAGCCACACUUGAACUGAGACACGGUCCAGACUCCUACAGGAGGCAGCAGUGGGGAAUAGUGCACAAUGGGCGCAAGCCUGAUGCAGCCAUGCCGCGUGUAUGAAGGAGGCCUGCGGGUGGUAAAGUACUUUCAGCGGGGAGGCGUUACCAGCAGAAGAAGCACCGGCUAACUCCGUGCCAGGAGCCGCGGUAAUUC
rnacentral:rRNA from 1 species